CUGUGCUAGGCGGGGAGUUAGCGGUGCCCUGUACCCGGAACCCGCUAUACCGGGGCCGAAUUCCCACCCGCGGGUGCGGUCGCCGGACUUCGCCAACGGGUAAGUGGUGUUGAAGGCUGGGUCCCGUACAACGGAAACCUAUGAACCCGGUCAGGACCGGAAGGUAGCAGCCGUAAGUAGUCCGUUCCGUGUGUUGCGGGAGCGCCCGGUUGGAGCCAACUGCCUCGAGGGUUGUCCGGGGGCGGCUCAACGGUGGGUGCACAG
rnacentral:SRP_RNA from 1 species